rnacentral:rRNA from 1 species
GAUGAACGCUGGCGGCGUGCCUAAUACAUGCAAGUCGAGCGAACAGAUAAGGAGCUUGCUCCUUUGACGUUAGCGGCGGACGGGUGAGUAACACGUGGGUAACCUACCUAUAAGACUGGGAUAACUUCGGGAAACCGGAGCUAAUACCGGAUAAUAUUUCGAACCGCAUGGUUCGAUAGUGAAAGAUGGCUUUGCUAUCACUUAUAGAUGGACCCGCGCCGUAUUAGCUAGUUGGUAAGGUAACGGCUUACCAAGGCGACGAUACGUAGCCGACCUGAGAGGGUGAUCGGCCACACUGGAACUGAGACACGGUCCAGACUCCUACGGGAGGCAGCAGUAGGGAAUCUUCCGCAAUGGGCGAAAGCCUGACGGAGCAACGCCGCGUGAGUGAUGAAGGUCUUCGGAUCGUAAAACUCUGUUAUUAGGGAAGAACAUACGUGUAAGUAACUGUGCACGUCUUGACGGUACCUAAUCAGAAAGCCACGGCUAACUACGUG